rnacentral:rRNA from 1 species
GAUGAACGCUGGCGGCGUGCCUAAUACAUGCAAGUCGAGCGAACGGACGAGAAGCUUGCUUCUCUGAUGUUAGCGGCGGACGGGUGAGUAACACGUGGAUAACCUACCUAUAAGACUGGGAUAACUUCGGGAAACCGGAGCUAAUACCGGAUGAUAUUUUGAACCGCAUGGUUCAAAAGUGAAAGACGGUCUUGCUGUCACUUAUAGAUGGAUCCGCGCUGCAUUAGCUAGUUGGUAAGGUAACGGCUUACCAAGGCAACGAUGCAUAGCCGACCUGAGAGGGUGAUAGGCCACACUGGAACUGAGACACGGUCCAGACUCCUACGGGAGGCAGCAGUAGGGAAUCUUCCGCAAUGGGCGAAAGCCUGACGGAGCACCGCCGCGUGAGUGAUGAAGGUCUUCGGAUCGUAAAACUCUGUUAUUAGGGAAGAACAUAUGUGUAAGUAACUGUGCACAUCUUGACGGUACCUAAUCAGAAAGCCACGGCUAACUACGUG